GCCUUCGUGGUGCAAUGGUCAGCACACUCGGCGCGUAACCGAGAGGUCCAUGGUUCGAUUCCCGGCAAAGGCG
rnacentral:tRNA from 1 species